GACGAACGCUGGCGGCGUGCUUAACACAUGCAAGUCGAACGGAUUGCUUGGUGCUUGCACUGAGUGGUUAGUGGCGAACGGGUGAGUAACACGUGAGUAACCUGCCCCCUUCUUUGGGCUAAGCACCUGAAAGGGUGUCUAAUACUGAUUAUUCUGCUGGAAUCGCAUGGUUUUGGUUGGAAAGGUUUUUCUGGUGGGGGAUGGGCUCGCGGCUUAUAAGCUUGUUGGGGGGGUAAUGGCUUACCAAGGCUUUGACGGGUAACCGGCCUGAGAGGGUGACCGGUCACAGUGGGACUGAGAUAGGGCCCAGACUCCUACGGGAGGCAGCAGUGGGGAAUAUUGCACAAUGGACGAAAGUCUGAUGCAGCGACGCCGCGUGAGGGAUGAAGGCCUUCGGGUUGUAAACCUUUUUCGCUUUUGACCAAGGCAGCAUUUUGGUGUUGUUGAGGGUAUGAGGUAAAGAAGCACCGGCUAACUCCGUGCCAGCAGCCGCCGUAAAAC
rnacentral:rRNA from 1 species